AGAGUUUGAUCAUGGCUCAGGACGAACGCUGGCGGCGUGCUUAACACAUGCAAGUCGAACGGAGUUUAAAUCAGUAGUUUACUACAGAUUUAAACUUAGUGGCGGACGGGUGAGUAACACGUGGGCAACCUGCCCUAAAGAGGGGGAUAACACCGAGAAAUCGGUGCUAAUACCGCAUGACAUUAGAGCUUCGCAUGGAGCUUUAAUCAAAGGAACAAUCCGCUUUAGGAUGGGCCCGCGUCUGAUUAGCUAGUUGGUGAGGUAGAGGCUCACCAAGGCGACGAUCAGUAGCCGAUCUGAGAGGAUGACCGGCCACACUGGAACUGAGACACGGUCCAGACUCCUACGGGAGGCAGCAGUGGGGAAUAUUGCACAAUGGGGGAAACCCUGAUGCAGCAACGCCGCGUGGAGGAAGAAGGUUUUCGGAUUGUAAACUCCUGUCUUUUGGGACGAUAAUGACGGUACCAAAAGAGGAAGCCACGGCUAACUACGUGCCAGCAGCCGCGGUAAUACGUAGGUGGCGAGCGUUGUCCGGAAUUACUGGGCGUAAAGGGCGCAUAGGCGGCCUGUUAAGUCAGAUGU
rnacentral:rRNA from 1 species